rnacentral:rRNA from 1 species
AUGGCCCCCAUGGCGCCGAGGAAACGCGCCAGAUACUGCUGCGGCCUCUGCGGCCUCCCAAAGAAGGGCCAUGUCUGCCACUUCGCCGGCGGUUCGUCUUCGGCGCGGCUGGUGCAGGGCCGAGAAGAAGCGCCGCCGCCCAGGGACCCUCCUGCUGCUGGCGCCAAGAAGGAGGAGGUCACCAUCAUCACCGCCCUCCCCAACGACGUCCUAGGCACCAUCAUCUCCGCGCUCCCCAUCGACGAGGCCGCCCGCACAAAUGCCAUCUCCAAAGGCUGGAAACACGUCUGGCGCGACUACACCCCGCUCAACCUCGACGACCGCGACCUCCACAAAAUGGCCUGGACCGGAGACAACCUAGUCGACCUUAUCUCAGACAUCCUCGAGGCUCCACGCGAGGUACGCGCCCGUCGUCUUUCUCUCAGCACGCUAUGCCAGCACUCCGGUGAUCGAGACCGCUACCCCAUCUUCGACCGCUGGUUCCGAUCCAAGGUUCUGGAUCACCUCGAGGAUUUUCAUUUCAGCUACCAGCGGGUGAACAACACCGAACCACUACAGGAUGGCGAGUUGAUGCCGCCGCUGCCGCCAUCCGCGCUGAGCUUUUCCUCCCUCCGCGUCGCCAGCUUUGGUUGCUGCCAUUUCCCUGAGAAUAUCUUAGCCUUGGGCGGCAUCACUUUUCCAUAUCUCAUCGAGCUCACACUCUGCCGGAUAACAAACUCCGAAAACACACUGCACGCCAUGAUAGCCGCAUCUCCAAAUCUUGUCUACUUGUACCUUCACAGAAACUAUCACUUCCGUCGCGUCCACAUCAGCUCGCAAACUAUUGUAAGGUUCCGCAUGUUUGUUGACCCAGACAGUGAUGUGAUGGAAGAACUCCUCAUCGUCAACACUCCAAGCCUAGAGGAAGUGAUGCUCUGGGACCAAGGUGAUUGUGGUCCACGAAUCAUACGUGUCCUGGUUGCCCCAAAACUUCACAUCUUGGGUUGUCUGCACAGCGACAUGAUGUCCACCGUACAGCUUGGGAAGACAGUACUCCAGGUAUAUAUGUAUCUAGGAGCCACACAGGGCAUCUGUAUAUAUCAUUCUUUUGCAAUCUUACUUAUAUACAUAUUCUUUCGUGCUUUGACGAUCCAGGCAAUGGUUGACAGCAGUCUAGUGUCAUCACUGCAUAAUGUAAAGGUCUUGAAGCUUGUUGUCCAUGGUCUUAGGUUAAAUCAUGUCAUUGACGUCCUCCAAUGCUUUCCCUGCUUACAACAGCUUCACAUAAAUACAUUGAUGAGCCAUGUUCCAAACAAGCAGAACGACAAUCCAGCUGCUACUACUGUUGAGUGUGUUGAUAGACAUUUAAAGCAAGUAGUAGUGAGAAAUUAUUCAGGCAAGAAACCAGAUUAUAACUUUGCCAAGUUUUUUGUUUUGAACGCAAGAGCGCUAGAGUCCAUGAAGCUCCAUGUCCCUUUUAGCUGGAACAACGAAUGGCGCUCUAGACAACGUAUCAAGAUGGAUUUUAAGAACAGAGCUUCUCCAAAUGCUUUGGUUUAUUUUGAGGGCACCAAGUGA